ACGGCCGUACCAUGCUGAAUAUCUCCGGUUCUCGUUAGAUCACCGAAGUCAAGCAUCAUUGGGCGCGGUCAGUACUUGGUGGGUGACCACCUGGGAACACCGCGUGCCGUU